GGAGAGGUGGCUGAGUGGUCGAUAGCGGCGGCUUGCUAAGCCGUUGUACGGGUCACACCGUACCGUGGGUUCGAAUCCCACCCUCUCCGCCA
rnacentral:tRNA from 1 species